UUACGACCAUAUCACGUUGAAACACCGGUUCUCGUACAAUCAACGAAGUUAAGCAACAUCGAACCGGGUCAGUAACAAGAUGGGUGUCCACUUGGGAAUACCAGGUGCUGUAAG